CAUUCUGAUUGGCUGAAGCAGUUGCCCCCUGGCCAACUAGCCAAUAGCUAUCCAGCCAGCCAGCCAAUAGCUGCCUGUGCCCUAGAGGCCCAGGCCUGCUCCUCAAUGGCCCAGACUAGCCAAGUUAUACAACCAAGAACAUUGCAAAAACUUGUGCAUAGUCCUUACAUCUAGUGUGACGUGAAAGCUGCAGAACACGAGACAGUGAAAGAAGGAGAAGCACAGCUGCACCACUGCACAUUAGCUGAAAAUAAAGGGUAUGAACAUGGCUGGUUGCUGCUGGUUGCACCAGGUGACUUGUAACUUGAGAGAUGAUAAUUGGCCACAUGUCUCCUCUUCAGGUAGCACUUUUCAGCUGCAUUUUUUAAACAGAGAGAAAGGUGGCUACAAGAAUCAAGAAAAAGAGACCUUCCAGAAGUAAUUACCCUUGUAGUGCUCAGGAGUACAGCACUUGAAAAAGUCACUAAAGCCAAAGGAUCUUCUGUCAAACAGGGAGUGACCAUUAAAUGUCUGAUCAUUAAAUGGCAUAUCUGUGCACAUUACAGAUUAUUAGGUGAAUGGUUUUUGUCUUUCAAAGGUUUAGUAUCUCCCUGCAAAAAGCAGCCUGGGGGGCACUGGUGACCAUGAACACAGGGAUCAGAGCAGGCAAAGAGAGCUGCCCACAGUGACCACAAGAUUGUUGAGGUCAAUAUUGUGACAAGGCAGAGCAAGAAGAUAGAAACCAGUAAAUUCAGGAGACCUAACUUUGGUUUCUUCAUGGAUCUUCCUGGAAGAAUCACAUGGGAACAGGCCCCACACGGAAGAAGGAUCUUAGAGAGUUGAUUAAUACUCAGGGAUUUCUUCCUCCAGGCCUAGAAAUGGUGCAUCCCAAUAAGUGAGAAAUUGGGCAAAAGGAGCGAGAGACCUGCAUUAAUGAACAAGGAACUUCUGUCGAAAUUCAGACAUAAGCAGGAUAUACAUGUGAGGUGGAAGCAGGGAUGAGUGUAAGAAUGUGGUCAGAGUGUCCAGAUAGGCCAUGAGGAAGCCAAGGCCAGCUUGGAAUUAAACCUGGCCCAAGGAUGUCAAGGAAUACAAUAAGGAUUUCUUCAAAUACAUCAGUAACAAAAGGGAAAAUGUAUACUUGCUACUGAAUGGAAUGGGCACCCUGCAGAAGUGUUGCAGCAUUCACCAUGGGCACAUAAUGCAUAGAAAAAAGGAAGACCUUUGAUUUGUGGCUUAAUACCACUCUGCAGGACAUAUGUGUGUUCUAGGAGUUGUUACUCACUGUGGCUGGGACCAUCUCAGAUCAUAGUGCUGAGGUUGUGGAAAACGAACUCUCAUGGAAUUUUGUUGCCUCUUGGGUGAUUUCAAUUAGCAGAACAACAAUUAUCAAGGGACUAAAUGCAAUUCAAACUCUUGGUUUUAACCUCUUUGUUAAUUUCAUUAAUUGUAAUAUCAGUUGUUUCUACUAGAUCCCAGAAUCAUAUGAAUUGUAACAAAAAAGCUUUUCCUAAAUAUUGUCUGGAGUUAGCAAUGAUCUUAAAAUUCAUGGUUUCUCAAUUUUAAUGGAAAGCUCCAAUUUUUCACUAGAAAGUGACUUUUCCAGUGUAUUUUGCUUCUGUAAUAAUACUUUCCAUUUUGUUCUUCUUUCUCCCACUUGCAUAUUAAUUUGUUUCUUCUCCCAUUAUCCUGCUGGCUUUUCCAUUCCUCUCUAUGUGUUUUAAUCAUUUUUAGAAAACCCAGCUGUCUGGCAAGCUCCUUCAAGCCCAUUUUCUUGUGCACCACUGAACUGAUUUUGACAAUAAAUUGCUCAUGGCUGGGCAUGCAUUCUGUGUGAACUAAUGCAUUAACUGCACAGCUACUGCAUGAACUGUUCAGUUAUUUUAAAUUUUCUCACAAUAAUGAAGUACAGAACAUGCAAACUUUUGGACCAUGUAACUCUGUGUUCGCCUUGAGGUCUUGAGAUUUGUUUUUAACCUCUGUUCUGCUGGCUGAAUUUCCCAUAGUGUUUGUGUGCAUCUAGACUGUAGGAACUUUUGCUUGGUCAGGGAAGACUGGGUUAGAGAAUGCGUAGGCAAACUCAGCAUCCACGAGUCCCUGGGCCCUGAUGGGAUGCAUCCACAAGUGCUGAGAGCUGAUGGACACCACAGCAAGGCAGCUCAUGACCAUCUUGAAAGGCUGUGGCAAUCAGGAGAAGUGCCUGAGGACUGGAAGAAGGGAAAUGUCACUUGUGUCUUCUGAAAAGGGCAAGAAGGGAAGUACUAGGCAGUCAGCCUUACCUCAAUCCCUGCAAAGCUGAAGAAGCACCUUGUUUUGAAGGCCAUCUCUAUCCACAUGGAUAACAAGAAUGUGAUCACGGCAGUCAGCAUGAAUUCAAUAAAAGUAAAUCAUGCCUGACCAACCCAGUUGCCUUCCAUGAUGACAAAACGACCUGCAUGGAUGAGG